GACGAACGCUGGCGGCGCGCCUAACACAUGCAAGUCGAGCGAUGAACAUUCAUUGAUCCCUUCGGGGUGAUUUGAAUCGGAUUAGCGGCGAACGGGUGAGUAACGCGUGAGGAACCUGCCUCUCACAACGGGAUAGCCUCGGGAAACCGGGAUUAAUACCGUAUGACACCAUUUUCUGGCAUCUUAAAAUGGUUAAAGUGCUAGCGGUGAGAGAUGGCCUCGCGUCUGAUUAGUUAGUUGGUGGGGUAACGGCCUACCAAGACGACGAUCAGUAACCGGCCUGAGAGGGUGAACGGUCACAUUGGAACUGAGACACGGUCCAAACUCCUACGGGAGGCAGCAGUGGGGAAUCUUGCACAAUGGGGGAAACCCUGAUGCAGCGACGCCGCGUGAGCGAUGAAGGUUUUCGAAUCGUANAGCUCUGUCCUAUGGGAAGAUAAUGACGGUACCAUAGGAGGAAGCCCCGGCUAACUACGUGCCAGCAGCCGCGGUAAUACGUAGGGGGCGAGCGUUGUCCGGAAUUACUGGGCGUAAAGGGUUCGCAGGCGCAUGGNCAGUCUGAUGUAAAAGGCGAAAAGCUCACUUUUCGUAGCAUCGGAUACUGUCAAGCUUGAGUGAAGGCCUUGCAAGUGGAAUUCCUAGUGUAGCGGUGGAAUGCGUAGAUAUUAGGAGGAAUACCGGUGGCGAAGGCGACUUGCUGGACUUCAACUGACGCUGAGGAACGAAAGCGUGGGUAGCAAACAGGAUUAGAUACCCUGGUAGUCCACGCCGUAAACGAUGAGUGCUAGGUGUCGGGGGUCAUACCUCGGUGCCGUCGUUAACACACUAAGCACUCCGCCUGGGGAGUACGUGCGCAAGCAUGAAACUCAAAGGAAUUGACGGGGACCCGCACAAGCAGCGGAGCAUGUGGUUUAAUUCGAAGCAACGCGAAGAACCUUACCAGGACUUGAAAUACUAGCGCCCACUUUAGAGAUAAAGUUUUUUCUUCGGAAACGCUAAUACAGGUGGUGCAUGGUUGUCGUCAGCUCGUGUCGUGAGAUGUUGGGUUAAGUCCCGCAACGAGCGCAACCCUUACUUUCUAGCUUGCCAGCACGUAAUGUCGGUAACUCUAGAGGGACUGCCGAUCAUAAAUCGGAGGAAGGUGGGGAGGACGUCAAAUAAUCAUACCCUUUAUGUCGUCCAGGACACACGUGCUACAACAGUCGUUACAAAAAGGAGCGAAAGAGCAAUGUCAAGCGAAUAUCAAAAAACCCCUCCCAUUUCGGAGAGCAGGGUACAACUUCCGCUCAUAAGAAUUCGGAAUCCUUGUAAUCGCAGAUCAAAAUACUCGCGGAGAAUACGUUCCCGGGUUA
rnacentral:rRNA from 1 species